UACGGAGGAUGCGAGCGUUAUCCGGAUUUAUUGGGUUUAAAGGGUGCGUAGGCGGGCUUUUAAGUCAGCGGUAAAAAUUCGGGGCUCAACCCCGUCCGGCCGUUGAAACUGGGGGCCUUGAGUGGGCGAGAAGAAGGCGGAAUGCGUGGUGUAGCGGUGAAAUGCAUAGAUAUCACGCAGAACCCCGAUUGCGAAGGCAGCCUUCCGGCACCCUACUGACGCUGAGGCACGAAAGUGCGGGGAUCGAACAGG
rnacentral:rRNA from 1 species